CAGCCGUUGCCUGGCAACUGCGCCUUGACCUCAGCAUCCGUUGAGUGACGAGACUGCGUUCCUUGCCACCUCCUUCUAGGUCCUUCUCGCCACACCCCCGGAGAGACCUACCAGCGGUUGUGUCUGACUUUCCAGCUAUGCAUGAAUCUGCAAGCAAGCUAGCAAGCAGCAGUCCCUCUCUGAUUUCUACUUUGAGCUCCUGCCCUGAACUCCCUCAGGGAUGCACUGUGGCCUGGAAGUGUAGACCAAAUAAAGCCUCCCCUCCCCUAA